rnacentral:rRNA from 1 species
GUGGGGAAUUUUGCGCAAUGGGGGAAACCCUGACGCAGCAACGCCGCGUGAGUGAUGAAGGCCUUCGGGUCGUAAAGCUCUGUCAGAGGGGAAGAAGUGUGGGGUGGCUAAUAUCCAUUUCACUUGACGGUACCUUCAAAGGAAGCACCGGCUAACUCCGUGCCAGCAGCCGCGGUAAUACGGAGGGUGCGAGCGUUGUUCGGAAUUAUUGGGCGUAAAGCGCGUGUAGGCGGUUUUCUAAGUCUGAUGUGAAAGCCCUGGGCUCAACCCGGGAAGUGCAUUGGAAACUGGGAGACUUGAAUACGGGAGAGGGCAGUGGAAUUCCUGGUGUAGGAGUGAAAUCCGUAGAUAUCAGGAGGAACACCGGUGGCGAAGGCGGCUGCCUGGACCGAUAUUGACGCUGAGACGCGAAAGCGUGGGGAGCAAACAGGAUUAGAAACCCCGGUAGUCC